ensembl:snoRNA
ACCCUCCGGUUCCCUUAACGCCGAUCUUGGUAGCCGUAAAAGGAGGAAAAGUAAUACUGAAGCUGGCCUCACAGUGCUUGUAGUCUGUGGGCUAAUUUCAAACAAGG